CUUCUUCCUCCCGGGUUCUGUGAGCUUCAUCAGCUCGCCUUCAUUCUCACCCGGCUCAUCUCGUUCCGCAUUCUCUCAGUCCUUGUGGCCGUUCUUGUGGCCCAGAGUUUUGUCUCCCCAUUGUGUCCCCUCGUCUGUUGUCUGGUGUGUCACGGGUGUCUGGGUGUAGUUGUCCCGGAGCUGCUCUGCCCUGCUGCCCAGCCGCCCAGCCUGGCUGUAGGUGUAAAAGGCCAAGUCCCAGGCCCCUGUAAUUUGAAAUUUGUGAUGUAGGGUGUAGUUGGGGUCUAGAACAUAUUCCUAGAUCAACACAACAUGUCUGGAGCUGUGAAGUUACCCUGCAGCGCUUUGACUUUUGUCUCAGCUUUCUUUCAGAUGCGGAUGCAUGGAAUCGGUGGCAGAGAGCCCCAUCCAGGGUAAGGGGGUUCCCCCGAGAAGGAAACAGAGCCGGCUAGCAGCAGUCAAGGUGAAGUGGGCAAGGCGGUCCAGUCGCGUUUCGUCGAGACCCCCGUCGCCAGCCGGCCGGCACGCCUGCUUCGCCGCUCCCGUGAGCCCUGCGGAAGCGUUACAGGGACUGCGUGACGGAGCCUUUUCCACGUAAAGGGGCCGUGUGGGUGGCCUUCAGGAAGGGGCCGAGGGCUUCCCGCGCGCCCUCUGCGACGACGGUGUCUGGUCCUGGCGUGGCGGUAUCAUGCGGCCUUCAGGACACGGCCGUUUGCAGGACACCCUGACGGAGAGACGACAGCCUGGCGAUGGCAGGAACUUCCCGGAUAGCCAGGCGGCCUUCCUUGGCGCUCCGUGUGGAUCCUCCCCACCGGGCAUCCGAGAGCUGAGUCGAAGGCUACGAGCCGCAGAGGGGAUGAAAGCGGGGGUGCCGGGUCGGGACAUGUGACCUGGGAUUUUUGAGUCAGCUUUGGGGACGGGGAGGUCCAGGCUGUGGCCCCUUAGGCCACACGGUGGGAGAGCCUCACUUUUGUUCACAGUGCUGAGGUGUGCAGGACAGAGCAGCCUCGGGGCGCAUCGUGUCACUUGUCCGUCGUGCCUUCUGUGUCUUUUGUGCCUCUUGUGUUGUACGUGCCUUGCCCUAUCUCUUCUGGGGCCUUACCAGAAACCCCAGCAUCGCUUAUAGCAUCUCCGAUCUCUGGGCUCCUCGGCUCAGCAGCUCUCGGAGGCCUUGGAAUCGCGUCUCUUUUGACAAGCAUCCGAUCGGAUGUCUUUUAGACGUCUUGUUCCGAGCUGUGUCAACAGCCGUGCGCCGCGAGGAUCCAUUGUUGCGGCUUAGGACUUGAAGGAACGCAAAGAUAGGUAGAGGAUUGCGGCCAUAAGAUUCUUGGGCAUCCGUCUUGGCGGUUCCUGGAGUUUGUCAUUCCUUCAGCAUCUUCUUCCUCCCGGGUUCUGUGAGCUUCAUCAUCUCGCCUUCAUUCUCACCCGGCUCAUCUCGUUCCGCAUUCUCUCAGUCCUUGCGGCCGUUCUUGUGGCCCAGAGUUUUGUCCCCCCAUUGUGUCCCCUCGUCUGUUGUCUGGUGUGUCACGGGUGUCUGGGUGUAGUUGUCCCGGAGCUGCCCUGCCCUGCUGUCCAGCCUGGCUGUAGGUGUAAAAGGCCAAGUCCCAGGCCCCUGUAAGUUGAAAUUUGUGACAUAGGUUUUACUUUGGAAUCUAGAUGCUUUUUCUACAUCGACACUAGAUGUCUGCAUUUGUGAAGUUUUCCUGCAGCGCUUUGAGUUUUGUCUUAGCUUUCUAAGCAUUUUAUUAUUUGCUGCCCAAUGUGGGGUUCAGAAGAGUAAGGAAAACCUAUGCUGAUUAUGUUGUAUUGGUACUUACUGUGUGCUGGGAUAAAGGACUUUGUAAUGGUGUUACUUAAGUUCAUGUCUCUCAGGGUGGAGGCCUUUAUGUUGUUCUAGUCUCUGAGGUUUUUUUCGAGGUUUUAAUGCCUUUCUUGUCCCUAAGUUUAUGUUCUUAUCCAAAAAUAACUCCAAUAGUGUCGCUACUACAUAACUUUCACAGUAAAAGAGCACAGAUUAAAAUAGCUGUUAUGCUAAGCUCAGUAAUAAUGAUGGAUAAAAACUUUAUAAAAGUACUGAAAUUUGUACCAAA